rnacentral:rRNA from 1 species
UACGUAGGUGACAAGCGUUGUCCGGAUUUACUGGGCGUAAAGAGCGCGCAGGCGGUCGUUCAAGUCGAGUGUGAAAGCCCCCGGCUCAACUGGGGAGGGUCAUUCGAUACUGAUCGACUCGAAGGCAGGAGAGGGAAGUGGAAUUCCCGGUGUAGUGGUGAAAUGCGUAGAUAUCGGGAGGAACACCAGUGGCGAAGGCGACUUCCUGGCCUGUUCUUGACGCUGAGGCGCGAAAGCGUGGGGAGCAA